rnacentral:lncRNA from 1 species
UUUCCUUUCCCUUAAUUCAUCAUAGUUAUUAUUAUUAUUAUCUUAAGUUAAUGUUUGUAAUCACUUCCCACAGCUUCAAAACCUUGAUUCUGUAUUCACAUUGGCUUAUUAUGUCUUCUUUUGUUUUCAGUUCCUUCUAUUCCUGAAUUACUUAUUUUAAUUUGUGUCUUUGUUGGAUACUCAAUUAAGGGUUUCCCCCCCACCCCGGUUUGUUUUAUUUUCUAAGAUAGUCUCUCUUUCCUCAUUUAUUCCAUGCUUGUGCAUGUUGAUACUGGCCAUAAUAUUAUUUCCCUCAGUCUGUCUUAUACAGUUCAUUAGUUCCCUGUGGCUGUCAUAGCAAAUUUCCACAAAAUCCGUGACUAAAUAACAGACACUUAGUCUCUCAUAGAUCUGGCGAUGGAACUCCAUCAAGGCAGCAAAUCCUCCAAGUGGUCUUGGGAUGACUCUUUGCCUCUUUCAGCUUCUGAUGGCUGCCUUAGCGUUUUGGGGUUUAAGGAUAUAAACCUCCAUUGCUUGUCUCUGUCGUCCUCUCUCUAUAUCUGUGGGAAAGUUCCCUCUGUCUCUGUUUUACAAGGACACUUAAGAGGGCAUUUAGAACCCACUUGGACAAUCCUGGGUAAUCUUGUCUCAAAAUCUUAUUUUAGUCAUAUCUUGAAAACACCUUUGUUCUUAAAAUAAAGUGACAUUUGCAAUUUCCAGGCAUUUAAACUUGAUAUCUUGGGUGACUAUUAUUCAACUUACUACACACAUUAAUCCACUUUAUUUUGGCAUUGAGUAUUGCCAUAGAGUAGUCUGAGGUAAAUCAAUUUUUCAUUAGUGCUUUAUUCCGUUUCCUUGCUUAGAUGUGUAUGAGAUUCAUGCCUUAUUUUUGAUGUUCAAUAAUGCUGUCUCAACAUGUCACUGUAGUACUAUAUCAAUAGAUGGAAUGCUUUUUAAGUCUACAUCUCAUUAUCUUUAUUUUAAAGAGAGUUUUAUUAUAUCCUAAAUUUUUUUCUUUUGCAUUUUGAACUCUUCUUCAGAUAUGGUUUUUGUAUCCUCUAUAUUUAUGAUUUUCUCUAUGCAUUUUCAUGCAUACAUUUUGUGGUGGUUUGUUUGAGGGUACUACUUACUGCUUAGGAAGCCGGGGUACUUCUUAAAGAGUAAAAUAAGGCAGUGUGAGUACAAACUGGAACAGUCCAUGGCUCUAACAUGGGUUUAUUGAAUUGUACAAUUUUUCACCAAAUCUGUUAUGUUAACUAUAUUUCCCCUAAUAUUUUGUUGUUCAAGAAAAAUCUUUGAAAUACCCCCAGUCUCCCUGCUAUAGUCUUAGGCAACACUUUCUCUUUCUUCUUGACCCUACUUUUCUUCUAGGAGGAUUGGUUAUAGAACAGAAUUUUCUAAAGAUGUGUUAUUCCUUAUCCAUCAUGGAGAUUUUUAAAAAUCACAUUGUCUUCUUGAGUUUUACAAAAUAUUUUUCUUUAGACUAACUCAGUUCUAUAAUUUGAAUUAAUUCAUCUAAGGAAGAGACAAUAGGCUCAUCAUGAUGAAUUAAGCACUAGAAUCACAAGGAGUAACAGUAAUAUAACACAGUGAAAACACACUGGUUCUAAAGGUCCGCCUACCCUUUGUGAGAUGAGUGUGACACAUUUAAAUGAGAUGAUAAAGAAAUACUAUUUUCAAACAAGGACGGUCUUUGAGCCUCCUCAGAAGGAUUGAAAAGAAUUGAGGAAGGAAAAACUGUAUAACUCAACUAGAGCAGCUGUACUCUUUAUGUAUGGUAUUUGCACACAAAAUUUGUUUGAAGACAAGUUUCUACUGCUAGAAAGAUUUAAAUUCCCUGUCCUAGAUUAUAGCUACCACUUUGAUUCAGGUUCAAGGGAAUUGCCAUCUCUCCUUUUCAUCUUUGUUGUUGGUUCUUAUUCAAAUUUGACGCUUUAGGGGCAAUAUUCAAUGUCCCUGGUUUUUGUACCAUUUCAGAUUUAUGUCAUAUGUUUCCAGAGUUUUAAACAGUACUGAGACUUUCCCACCAUGACCCUUUUGUUCUCUGGAAUAUUACAUUUAUAUAAGGUUAAUAAUGGUUUGAAGGAGGUAGCGAUUUCAGAAGAAAGUGGCACAGAAAUUGAAUUAAAUAUGUAGGCAAUCUGUUUAGAAUAUACGAUGAUUUUAAAUAGUAAUUCUUAAAUGUUAUUUAAUUUCUCAGAUGAGGAAAGGAUGCUGUGAACUAUAUGCUAACUUUUGUAUUUACUGAUCAGAACAAAAGCAAUACCCUCUGAACUAUCACAAAAUAUUGAGAAUGAUGCUGGUUUUGGCAAAAUGUCUGUGAAGGGCUGACAACUUUUUGUUAAAUAUUUAAAGUAAAUUGUUCAGGUAUGUCAGAAUACAAAGUAUAAAUCUCAUUGUCCAGAAUUCUAGAUUAUCUAGGGAACCCUCAUGGAACAUCAUAUAUACAGGGAAGUUCAACAGUAGAUUAGCCUUUCAUUUUUUUUUGUUGUUGUUGUUGGAGGGGGUACCGGCACUGAGCUGAGCUUGGACACAAAGCGUCUCAGGUUGAAAAUUGGUGGUGAUGCCAGCUCUGACUAGGAUCAGAGUGGCUUUCAUUUACUUUACUUUUAAUAAGGAUAUGAGCCUAACUACAGGCGUGAAAUAGUAGAGGAUAUAAACAUAGGGAGCUCUUCAACUGGCCAACACCUCCCUCAUUCCCAGGAGAGGUGAGCCUAAAAUUCAGAGACCAGUGCAACCUGUGUGGAGGUAGAAACUCUCCAGGUCAGAGGAGCACUGAGCCUGGUCCACUGUAAGGGAAAGUGCCAGCAUGCAGGAGUCCACUGAUGCCUGUAGAAGAGCAUGCUAAUGCAGUGGUUCUCAAACUUAACAUCUGAAUUAACUUGAGGCCUUGUUAAAGCAUAGAUUACUGGGUUCAUAAUCUAGAGUUUCUCAUUAAGUAGACCUGAGACAGGCCUGAGAAGAGCAUUUCCAUCAAGUUCCCAGGUAUUCCUCAUAUUGCUGGUCUAGGGACUACACACUAAAAACCAUAGUCCACAAUUUACCUAUUUCCAUCUUUCUUCCUCACUUCAUCAUCAAAUCCACAACCUGAGUGUAGCCUACUGGGAGGUACCUGGGAAUAAACCAAAACAGCUAAUGUGUACAUUAUAGAAAAAGGCAUUAGAUUCAAAUUGGUCCUACUUACCUAGAUAAUUCAGACUCAAGCACACUUCUCUCUCAUUGCACAAGCAUAGUCAAGCAGUUGUGAAGCAGAAUUUAGAAAUGCUAUUGGCCAUGACAGUUUAUAGGAGUAUAAAUAGCAGAUUCUUCUAAUCUUUGCUCAUGAAUAUUGAUUUGCAUCAGAAACUUUAGAAGGUCAACCAUGUUGUCAUUGAAUUCAUUAUUGCAGUGAAUAAAUGAAUGUACUUACAGAGGCAGCUGUAAUUGCAACAUUGAAGAUUGACCAGUUUAAUGUUCUUUUUGUUUAUCAAAACAAGGCCUGGUCUCAUGAUCUGCAUUUAAUAUGGUGGUGAUAAAGCCCUAAUCCAAUAAGAGAACUGAAUGAAGUUUGUUUAGCCCUAAUGUUAAAAAAUAAUGUACAAAUAGUUGUUGUGAAAGUAUUUUUGACAAAGAAUUCUGUGUAAAGAAUUUUGGCCAUAGGAAAGCAAAUAAGGAUGAAUGUUUUCUGUGAAGAAUUAAAGCCUAGUUUAAAACAUAAAUGAAACUUCAACUUGUUUUUGAAAAUGUGGGAACAUGUCUUGACAGUUUAGUGAGCAAGAACUUAAAAGAAUCUUAUAAAUUACUGCAAGAUCUAAAUUACCCAGAUUCAGGUAUUUCUUUUAAGAGGUCUCAGGAGUGGUUUCUUAUUCAUUUUUAAUUAGAAUUUUAACUAAUCUAGACAUAUUUAUGACCCUUCUUUGAGUUAUUCUUGGUAUAGUCAAAUUAGAAAUGCCAGCAAUUCCUUGAGAUUUCCAAUUCAAGUUUUAAACAAGAGGAGUCUAGGUUGUAGAAUAAUUCAAAGCAACUUGCUAAGAAACAGUCAAACUCUUAGCUGUCAGAAUUAAUUCUUUCAAAAUGCAUGCCUUUGAAGAAAACUUGAUAAAUUGAUAGUUUAAACAAAUUAUUUAGUGUAUAAUUUGAUCUAUUUUUGUAAAAUUUCAAAAAUCUUCAAAUACUUUUUAACUCUUAUGUAAGUUUCAGGACAUGUUUCUUAAAUAUAUUUUUCUGUUCAUAAUCUAGUGAAAUUCCACAGGAUGAACAUAAGAUUUUUAUUAAAAUCCAGAUGAGAAAAGACAGAAACAGUCCCACUUGCCUUUCAUGUGAUACAAGGAAGUUCAUUAAAAAUGAAUUUUACUUUGUAUAAACCAUUUCCUGUAGUUGGAUAUAUAAAUGAAACUAUCAGUAUUUUUGUAUUUUAUCCCUGUUUGUUAAAUUGAGAGCUCUUCAGUUUAUGAAAUAAUGAUGACUUAUUUAAUGACUCAUUUGUUUAUGAAAAAAAUAUUUGAGUGUCUACCACUGUCUAAAUCUGGGUAUAUAGUAUUAAAAGGGAUAGGCAAGGCCCCUGCCCUCAUGGAUCACUUUAUGGGGAAAUACAGCCAAUAAGCAAAUACAAAAAAAUAAAUAAACAGUUACAAAUUAUGAUAAAUGCUAUGAUAGAAACAUAUGAUAUGGUUUACUAUCAAAGAGAAAAAAUGAAGAAGGGCAGUAACUUAGAAAAAUUACUUAAAAAAGUCUGCUUUGGGAGGGUCAAAUUUAGUGCAAAGAAAAAGGAAAGCGUGUGAACAAAGGCAGAAAAAAAGUACCAUAGGCUGUGCUGCAUCUUCUUAAUCUAAAGUUAAAUUUUACCGCUGAAUCUCUAAACUGAUUCAAGGCAAUCCACUGGGUUCCUCUGCUUUAUAUAACUAACAUUUGGUGUAAAGCUAGCAGAAUUAGGGGUCCAAGUUUCCACUAAUGUAAACUCUUCCAUCUAAAACAUCGUAUGUUUCAAUAGUUUAUAUGAUAUACAUGCUGAUGGAAUAUGAAUCUUACUGUUUGCUACUAGGUACCACUCAAAAGUGAAAGGUAGGCACGAAGCUGAUAUUUACCUUUCUGAGAUUCUGCUCCUAGUUCUUUAUUCCAAAUGGAGCUCCCAUGACUUAACUUGUUUCCUGUUCUUUUCUACUAAAAGGCAUUUUUUAGGAGUGUAGAGGUUGUGUUUACUGUUAUAAAUUAUUUUGAAAAUUUGUAUCAUUACUACAUGCACAGUGCAAAAAAAAAAGUCAUGAGUAUAUAAAUGUUAAAAUCCCCCUUUAUGAUAAUAUUAUUUAUAUAAUUAAUAAUUAUAAUAAUAUUAAUAGUUACAUAAUUUUAAUUACUAAUUUGUUUUGUGUUAUUCUUCAAAGACCUAUUAUGUUGAGUAUGCACACACACACUGAGGAGAUACAUUCAGUUAUGUUAGAAACAUUCAAUUAUUACACUUAACUUUUGCUCACAACUUAUUAUUUAGAACUAGCUGUCUGUUUCCACUUAACUGUGUAAGGCCAGGAACUGCAAUCAUACUGAGUUUAGAAGACAGAGAUUAAAAAAUAUUUGGAGACAAUAGUUCUAGUGAUGAGCACAGCUUUCCCUCAUUUACUUCUAUCAGUCAAGAAUAUGCUAUGAAUAUUCUCACUUUUUACAUAUAUACCAAUUUUCAUUGUUUAAUUUUUCUAAACCUAUUAUAUCACAAUUAGGUAUAUACAACAUUAAAGGCAGUCACUUUUAUUAUUCUUGCUGCAUUUAUUAGGGAAGAUGUAUCAAAAAGAAGUUGUAUAAUUCUGAAAGCUUGGAGACUCAACCAAAAAAUUCAUUUAGUUGUUAUGUAGAAGGGAGCCACCGUGAAAUCAAAGAGGGAGAGUUUCUUCAAGUUAAACUGACAUUGAAUACCAAUUUAAGAAUAUAUUGAUAGUAACAAAAUUUAGGUGCUCACUCAGAUGUGUCACUUAAGCCUAAUUCAGAGUAUGAGGUAGUGAAGAGAAGAUCUGUCUUCUAGUUAGAAAAAAAAUAGUUUUCACACACUAAGAACUCAUCAGGGAUUUAUCUCAUAAUGUAAAAUGAUCAUUGAAGUAUUUAGAGGUGAUGUGCAGACUCCUCUUCCUCAGACAUGGGUAAUUUUAAGAUUUAUUUGAUAUGAAAGUUAUCACUUGUAUUUAACAACUAUUCAUUGAGCCCCUACUGUGUUGUAGGGAUUGUUUUAGCCACUGGGGAUACAGUGGAAGAUACAUAAGACAUAUACCCAUUACUUUUUCUUUUUUUGCAAAGAUAUUAAAUUCUGAAAUACUUAGCUGUAUUAUUAAUGUUUUUGUUUAUGGUAGCCAAAAAACCCCCUCAAUACCACAGUGGCAUAUACCAAUAUGUAUUUAUUUCUUGUUUAUGUCAUGUGACUAUAUGAAGGCUUUGAUUCUGCUUAGAGUGCUUGAGCUCUACUUAUCUUCUCUAGAAACCGGGCUGAAAGAAUAGCUAGCAUUCAAACAUUCAGUUUUCAUGGUAAUGGUCUCAGAUCAAGAAGUUCGACACAAAAUCACACAACUCCUUUCAAGUUUUUGCUCAGGUGCAGCAAUAUUUACAUCCAUUCUCAUUUUAUUUGUUAAAGUAAGUCAUAUAAUCAAUCCUGAUAUUGAUGGGGCAAGUAACUAUAAUCUCCCUAUAAGGAAGCUUGGAAGGGGUGCAGAGGAAGCAAAUAAUUAUGGACAAUUUAGUGUGUUUAUUGUUUAAUACAGUUCACAACAGUGGUAAAUAUUUCUCUAGUAGCUACUACUUUCUGUUCCACUUGGUAUCGCUUUUUCAGUACUAUCAUACACAUACUCAAUAAUAAAGGAAUUAAUUUCCACAAUACUUCUCAUACUUUUUAAUAGAGAUAAAAAAAAUGAUGGAGUUCCCAUCAUGGUGCAGUGGAAAUGAAUCUGACUAGGAACCAUGAGGUUGCAGGUUUGAUCCCUGGCCCCAUUGAGUGGGUUAAGGAUCUGGCAUUGUCGUGAGCUGU